ensembl:lncRNA
CCAACUUUUUUUUGCAAUUCAUGGCAAAACUGAGAAGGAUGAACCUUAGGGGGUAUCCGAUUGAUCCUAGCCUCCUCAGCCUCUACACUGAUCCCAGGUCAGUAAGUGCUGUUGUCACUUGUUUUGAUACUUGAUCAACCUGUGCAUUACUUACCUCUUGCUUUAUUUUCAAACUGAUACUAGAUCAGUCUAAAGGAAGAUGUAUUUUUAUUUAUUACUGUUUUACAGUUGCUGUCUAUAUUCAUAACCAAGCUCUUCCUGUAAUCCCGGAUUACCAGAGUGCUUCAGUCUCUGAUAUUAUCAUGUUGACAUUGCUGAGAGCUACAUCUCUGCUUUUACCCCCUGGAGACCCCCAAGUCUGAGAGACCGAAACACAGUGAGAAGAGAGGAAAGAAAGAACAUGUUAUUAUAAGUCAUUCGCAGCGUAAACAAUGGCCCUUUGUUCAGAAUAGCAUGUUGUUUUAGUAUAUCCUUGUACACAUGGU